CAGCCGCCACGGGAAAACGGAGGGAGCUAGCGUUAUUCGGAAUUACUGGGCGUAAAGCGCACGUAGGCGGCUUUGUAAGUUAGAGGUGAAAGCCUGGAGCUCAACUCCAGAAUUGCCUUUAAGACUGCAUCGCUUGAAUCCAGGAGAGGUGAGUGGAAUUCCUAGUGUAGAGGUGAAAUUCGUAGAUAUUCGGAAGAACGCCAGUGGCGAAGGCGGCUUACUGGCUCAUACUGGACGCUGAGGUGCGAAAGCGUGGGGAGCAAACAGGAUUAGAUACCCGCGUAGUCCCUGUCUCUUAUAC
rnacentral:rRNA from 1 species